AUCGGAGGAGCAGUGCCUGCCCAGCGCCCACCCAGGCUUCCCUUGUAGAACAAAGAAAAAAUUCUCACGUAGCUGGGCUCCCGUAUACGCGCGCCCGGCCGGCCUCCUCCACAGCCAGGGCAGGACUCGACCGCGCGGGGCCGGCCGGAACAAGAGACCUAUUUUGCAUCCAUGAUUAAUCUUUUCUGUGUUGAUUUAACUAUACAAUAAGCUCAAUAGAUGCUUUCCUGUCAAGUACCUGUAAAAAUAUAAAACGAUUUUUUUUCCAGAUAAAAAACACGGAGUACAAAUGAGCAUGGCUAUAUUUUAGGCGUCUGAUUUUUAAGGAAAAAACUUCAAAAUAGUCGCCGCAUCAGAACGUGUUGUCCUUGGUUAAGAUUCGAUGAUCAAACACGUCCACUGAUCUCUGACUAAACUAAAAAAAAGAUGACUUCUUAAUAGCAAAACCGAAAGUACUCUUCAUAAUUUUAUGGAACAAAUAUAGACCUAAAAUUAUUCUAGUUUCAGGUUGCUUCGAGUUGAAGAUGUACGCAAAAUCCUCAAAGCACUAGAGCCUUAGGGAAUAUCUACACUAGUAAGUUCUUUUCCUUUCUUCUGGACAUGCUUAGCAGUGUAGAUACUCCCUAAGGCUUCGGUCGUAUUGGAUUGUUGUGGACAUUUGAGAAUCGUUGCAUGCAAAAGUGCUAAGCAUGCCCAACCUCCCCAGUGCCUGACACCUCCACCGCUCGUGGCUGCCUCGCGAUUCGGACACAGCUGCCAUUUUCCCCCACGCCUGAUUUUUCAUCCGCGUUUCUCACCUGUUUAAUCCUUCGAUAAAGCUGACCUCCCCUCCUGCGCCUCUGCUCCAUCCAGAGCACCUCAGGCCUACAUUGCUAGGAUGUAGCAUGUUACCGUUGCCGGCCGGACGCCCGUGACCCUUCAUUAUUUGGCGAUGCCGACGGCGACACCUUUCAACACCCCCACCCCCUCAGACGAUCAGCGGCUAUGGUGGUGGACGAGCCGUACUGGUGUCCUUUCCCGAUGGUGAGGUACCUCCUGUCGCCGGCCGCCUCCCACCGCCUGCCCUUAAGCCAGAGCAUGGCGCAAGGGUUCAUGGCUCCGGGCGUCCCUCUCUCCUCUUCAAAGCUGACCACCGCAUCUUCCGCGCCAUUGCGUUCAUGUGCCACCAUGGCAUCGAUGUCGACGCCGUCCCAGGAGAGGAGGCGGCACGGGUCGGCACGGAAAGAGGGCGCUGCAGUGGCGCGUCCCAGGAGAGCAGCAGGCCAGGGCAACGGGCCUCGGAAUGCUGAGGUCCAGUCGCCGACGGCCACGAGGUUCCUGUGGGCGCGGAGGGAUGCCUUCCUAGCCGCCCGCCGUCAUCUUCUUCCGGCAGGUGAACAGCGGCGGCACCACGUCAAUCGGCUCAGCAAAACAGGUUCUUCCCGCUGAGCUCGGAGUCAGGGGCCUGGUUCGGCCAUUGCUACAUACCCAGGCACUGCCUCGUGCUCCUGAUUGGCAACGGCCAGUGCCCCAUAGUCAAUAGUGGAAUCCCUUGAAUGUUGGUCAGUAAGCUGCUGCAGAUUUCUUGCAAUUUGUGUUUGAUUUGAUUUCUGAAUAAUUUUUAUUUCUUGCUUCGUCGUCGAUGUUGCUGGCCCAUCACCUGUUUGUGAUAAUGCUUAUGAGGGGCCUCGUACUAGUUCUUAUGUUGUUUAUUCCUACUAGAUGUUUGUGUAAUUACCGAGUGGUUUUGUUCAGAACUUGAUCCCCAAAUCUUCAGUUAAGAUCAGACCACAUCAGCCCCGACAUGGCGGACCUCACGGAGCUGUGCCUCGGCAUCCUCGCCGACGAGUGGACGCCGUGACGGUCUCGCCCUCUUGGCGUGCAAGGAGACACCCAGGCAACGUGCUCAGUCGUGAGGAAUUUGCAGGUGCAGGUGCCGGCCGGCAUCGGCGUCGAGCAGAGCGUUUUGGGGAUGAAGAAGCACAUGGAUUUUGUAGUCGCAAUAACUUCCAGUGUUGCCUUUCGUUUGGAUCUGAAGAUAGUGCUUGUUUGAAGGGGAAACAUCCAUCAGGAUGAUACCUGUGCUUAGGCUGCUACUUGCCGUGCUCAGUCGUGAGGAAUUUGCAGGUGCAGGUGCCGGCCGGCAUCGGCGUCGAGCAGAGCGUUUUGGGGAUGAAGAAGCACAUGGAUUUUGUAGUCGCAAUAACUUCCAGUGUUGCCUUUCGUUUGGAUCUGAAGAUAGUGCUUGUUUGAAGGGGAAACAUCCAUCAGGAUGAUACCUGUGCUUAGGCUGCUACUUGCUCUACUUCAUUCUUCUGGACUUGUCUGCUUUAGUUAUUGAUGUGUACUACUUUUGUUCUUUGGUACAGGUCUGGUACAAGGAUUAGAGCAUUAUACUUGUAUAAUCGAUGAAUUCAGGUUACCGAAUACCGAGCACAAUUUUAUUGAGAUUACUUUUGUCCCUCGGAUUACAAUUUUAAAAAAAAAAAAA
rnacentral:precursor_RNA from 1 species